AGAGUUUGAUUCUGGCUCAGGAUGAACGCAGCGGCAGGUCUAAUACAUGCAAGUCGAGGGGCAGCAGGGGUAGCAAUACUCGCUGGCGACCGGCGCACGGGUGCGUAACACGUAUGCAACUUUCCUUCAACUGGAAGAUAGCCCGAAGAAAUUCGGAUUAAUAUUCCAUAGUUAUAUGAAAUGGCAUCAUUUUAUAUUUAAAGCUCAGGCGGUUGAAGAUGGGCAUGCGUUCGAUUAGCUAGUUGGUGAGGUAAUGGCUCACCAAGGCUACGAUCGAUAGGGGAUCUGAGAGGAUUAACCCCCACACUGGUACUGAGACACGGACCAGACUCCUACGGGAGGCAGCAGUAAGGAAUAUUGGACAAUGGAGGCAACUCUGAUCCAGCCAUGCCGCGUGAAGGAUGAAGGUCCUAUGGAUUGUAAGCUUCUUUUGAACGGGAGAAAACCUUCGGUCGUGUACCGAAGCUGAUAGUACCGUUAGAAUAAGGGUCGGCUAACUUCGUGCCAGCAGCCGCGGUAAUACGAAGGACCCGAGCGUUAUCCGGAUUUAUUGGGUUUAAAGGGUGCGUAGGCGGAAUGGUAAGUCAGUGGUGAAAUCUUGUGGCUUAACUGCAAAACUGCCAUUGAUACUGCCAAUCUUGAGUACAUUUGAUGUGGGCGGAAUGUGCCAUGUAGUGGUGAAAUACUUAGAUAUGGCACAGAACACCGAUCGCGAAGGCAGCUCACAAAACUGUUACUGACGCUGAGGCACGAAAGCGUGGGGAUCAAACAGGAUUAGAUACCCUGGUAGUCCACGCCUUAAACUAUGAUUACUCGAUGUGUGCGAUACACAGUACGCGUCUAAGCGAAAGCGUUAAGUAAUCCACCUGGGGAGUACGGUCGCAAGAUUGAAACUCAAAGAAAUUGACGGGGGCCCGCACAAGCGGAGGAGCAUGUGGUUUAAUUCGAUGAUACGCGAGGAACCUUACCUGGGCUUGAAAGUUAGUGAAUGCUGUGGAAACAUGGCAGGCCGCAAGGACACGAAACUAGGUGCUGCAUGGCUGUCGUCAGCUCGUGCCGUGAGGUGCUGGGUUAAGUCCCGCAACGAGCGCAACCCCUAUCUUUAGUUGCCAGCGAGUAAUGUCGGGACUCUAAAGAAACUGCCCGUGCAAACGGUGAGGAAGGUGGGGAUGACGUCAAGUCAGCACGGCCCUUACGUCCAGGGCUACACACGUGCUACAAUGGCGAGUACAAAGGGCAGCUACAUGGUGACAUGAUGCUAAUCUCUAAAACUCGUCUCAGUUCGGAUUGAAGUCUGCAAUUCGACUUCAUGAAGCUGGAUUCGCUAGUAAUCGAAUACCAGCAAUGAUUCGGUGAAUACGUUCCCGGGCCUUGUACACACCGCCCGUCAAACAAUGGAAGCUGAGGGUACUUAAAGUCGAUAACCGCAAGG
rnacentral:rRNA from 1 species